rnacentral:rRNA from 1 species
GUGGGGAAUCUUGCGCAAUGGGCGAAAGCCUGACGCAGCCAUGCCGCGUGAAUGAUGAAGGUCUUAGGAUUGUAAAAUUCUUUCACCGGGGACGAUAAUGACGGUACCCGGAGAAGAAGCUCCGGCUAACUUCGUGCCAGCAGCCGCGGUAAUACGAAGGGGGCUAGCGUUGCUCGGAAUUACUGGGCGUAAAGGGCGCGUAGGCGGACAGCUUAGUCAGAGGUGAAAGCCCAGGGCUCAACCUUGGAAUUGCCUUUGAUACUGGCUGUCUUGAGUUUGGGAGAGGUGAGUAGAACUCCGAGUGUAGAGGUGAAAUUCGUAGAUAUUCGGAAGAACACCAGUGGCGAAGGCGACUCACUGGCCCAAUACUGACGCUGAGGCGCGAAAGCGUGGGGAGCAAACAGGAUUAGAUACCCGGGUAGUCC